UUGCUGAUAGUUGCUGAUGUAUGGUACUCAGUUAGCUGUCCUCUUUGAGCUCUGGAAGCUUGGCUUCUGCUCUCAAGAAGGGGAAUCAUCUCUACGGGGAUUAUCCUGUUAUAAGGAAUUACCACCCAGUCCUAUUUUGGAAAGGGACAUCCUUUGCUGCUGAAACAAUGUACCUUAAACCAGAUACAGAUUUGUGGCCCAUCUCUUUGGCAGCCUCUGUUAACUUGGUGUCUUGGGCUGGAUUUUUGGUUUGCUGAGGGUGUUCUAGUCACUGAGUAGUUGGAAGCUGAUCUCAGGAAUAACCAUCCCAGCAUUCAGCAAGGCGAUCCCUGUGGGACUUAACCCACUUGUGGUUGGUGCAUUAAGCCCCUCCAUUUAACAGAUUUUAAAAGAAGAAAACAACUGUCUUAGUCAGGGUUCUCUAGAGUCACAGAACUUAGGGGUAGUCUCUAUGUAGUAAGAGAAUUUGUUAACGACUUACUCUCUGUAAGGCAACUCUUUAACAAUGAUCAGCAGCAGCUAGGGCUCAGUCCCACAAGGCAGGCAGGCAAAAAAAGACUUCCUUCUUCAAUGCCGUUGUGUAGGUCUCCAGCAGCUUAUAUGGGUCUCCAGAAGAAGGUGUGUCCCAGAUUAAAGGUGUGUACCACCAUGCCUGGAUCUGGGAAUUGCCUGGACCUUGAACUCAGAGGUCUCCUUGCCUUAGGCUCCUGGGAUUCAUAGCCACUUUGCCUCAAGAUCUCCAUACCAAGAUCCAGGUCAGAAACUUAUAUCUCCCAGCCUCAAGAUCAGGAUCAAAGCAGACAUCUGACUCCCUGGCAUGAUCAUCACACUCACGGUCAGAACGGCAGCACACACUCUGGCACUGAUGCCGGGAACUGUGAGUCACUGCUCCGGGUUCUUCCUGGUGUGGAAGUGAGUCUCCGAAGAGGGAGAAAGAGCAGUCUGUCAGAUACUUCAUGCACUAUAUCCCAUGGAAUUAUUUAAGAUGAGUAAAACUCUUUUGAGAAAUUAUUUUCUUUGUUCAAAGACUCAUACGUGGAUCCUUCCUGAAAAAUAUGUGAUUAGUCUUUUUAUCUAAAAGACCAUGGAAUUCUUCAUUUUCUCAGUUUUUUUUUUCCUACCUCCUCUUUCUUCAUCCGUUAUUUUCAACGAUAAAAAUGUAAACUUUGUUACAAGGUCAUUUGGAACUGGGAGCUUUUAGAAAAACAUUGAAUGAAAUAAAACAUAGUCAGUGACUAUAUGACUUUA
ensembl:lncRNA